rfam:Chitinophaga pinensis DSM 2588, complete genome.
UUUGGGAUUACCGAAAACCAAGAAAAGAGUAGGUA